CAGCAGCCGCCACGGGAAUACAGAGGAUGCAAGCGUUGCUCGGAAUUACUGGGCGUAAAGGGCGCGUAGGCGGACAGUUCAGUCGGGGGUGAAAGCCCGGGGUUCAACCUCGGAAUUGCCUUCGAUACUGGCUGUCUUGAGUAUGAGAGAGGUGUGUGGAACUCCGAGUGUAGAGGUGAAAUUCGUAGAUAUUGGGAAGAACACCGGUGGCGAAGGCGGCAACCUGGUCCUUGACUGACGCUGAGGCGCGAAAGCGUGGGGAGCAAACAGGAUUAGAUACCCCAGUAGUCCCUGUCUCUUU
rnacentral:rRNA from 1 species